rnacentral:rRNA from 1 species
AGUCAGAGCAUGUGGGCUAAGCUGUGUGCUCGAGAGGGAAACAGCCCGGACCGCCCGCUAAGGUCCCCAAGUUCCAGCCGAGUGGCAAAGGAUGUGCGUCCGCCCAGACAACCAGGAUGUUGGCUUAGAAGCAGCCAUGCAUUCAAAGAGUGCGUAACAGCUCACUGGUCGAGUGGACAUGCGCCGACAAUACACGGGGCUAAGCUGGACACCGAAGCGGCGGGAUUUUAAUUCAUUAGAAUCGGUAGGGGAGCUUCCCAUGGGCGGAGAAGCCGGAGGGCGACCGACGGUGGAGCGCAUGGGAGUGAGAAUGCUGGCAUGAGUAGCGAGAGACGAGAGAGUAACUCGUCCGCCGUGAACCCGAGGUUUCCUGGGCAAGGCUAAUCCUCCCAGGGUCAGUCGGGGGCUAAGGCGAGGCCGGGAGGCGUAGCCGACGCGCAGCAGGCAGACAUUCCUGCACCGCGCACGCGGCGCUACGACCGACGGGGCGACGGAUGGGGGUGGCUCGGCGGGGUUCUGGACGUCCCCGUGAUGGAGCGCGGCCCGCGGACCAGGGAAAUCCGGUCCGCACGAGGGCGAGGCUCCGGACGAAGCGAUCAAGCGAAGCGAGUGAGCCCGAGGUCCCUAGAAAAACCCCUAGGCAGGCGCGUGCGCGCCCGUACCGCAAACCGACACAGGUGGGUGGGUAGAACAUACCGAGGCGAUCGGGUCAACCAUGGUCAAGGAACUCGGCACAAUGGCCCCGUAACUUCGGGAGAAGGGGUGCCCGCGCGUACGUGAACCGGCUCGCCCGGGGAGCGGAGGCGGGCCGCAGUGGAGAGGCCCAAGCGACUGUUUACCAAAAACACAGGACUCUGCAGAAGCCGCAAGGCGACGUAUAGGGUCUGACGCCUGCCCGGUGCCGGAAGGUCACGCGGAGGGGUUAGCCGCAAGGCGAAGCCCCGAAGCCAAGCCCCGGUAAACGGCGGCCGUAACUAUAACGGUCCUAAGGUAGCGAAAUUCCUUGUCGGGUAAGUUCCGACCUGCACGAAAGGCGCAACGACUUGGGCGCUGUCUCGACCAUGGACCCGGUGAAAUUGCACUGGUCGUGAAGAUGCGACUUACCCGCGGAAGGACGGAAAGACCCCGUGAACCUUCACUGCAGCUUGGCAUUGGCCGCUGGUCCCGCGUGUAGAGGAUAGGCAGGAGGCACAGAUCCGGAGGCGCCAGCCCCCGGGGAGCCGCCCUUGGAAUACUGCCCUCGCGCGACCGGCGUCCUAACCCGAGGCCGUCAACCGGCUCGGGGACCGUGCCAGGCGGGCAGUUUGACUGGGGCGGUCGCCUCCUAAAGGGUAACGGAGGCGCGCGAAGGUCCGCUCGGGACGGUCGGCAACCGUCCUUUUGAAUGCAAGAGUACAAGCGGGCUUGACUGCGAGGCCCACAAGCCGAGCAGGUGCGAAAGCAGGCUCUAGUGAUCCGGCGGCCCCGAGUGGGUGGGCCGUCGCUCAACGGAUAAAAGGUACUCCGGGGAUAACAGGCUGAUCUUGCCCAAGAGUCCACAUCGACGGCAAGGUUUGGCACCUCGAUGUCGGCUCAUCGCAUCCUGGGGCUGGAGCAGGUCCCAAGGGUACGGCUGUUCGCCGUUUAAAGCGGUACGCGAGCUGGGUUCAGAACGUCGUGAGACAGUUCGGUCCCUAUCCUCCGUGGGCGCAGGAGAAUCGAUGGAGGCUGCCCCCAGUACGAGAGGACCGGGGUGGACGCACCUCCGGUGAACCGGUUGUCGACCAACGGCACGGCCGGGUAGCCGCGUGCGGCGCGGAUAACCGCUGAAGGCAUCUAAGCGGGAAGCCGUUCCAGGGAUUAGUUCU